rnacentral:rRNA from 1 species
UACGGGAGGCAGCAGUGGGGAAUAUUGCGCAAUGGGCGCAGGCCUGAUGCAGCCAUGCCGCGUGUGUGAAGAAGGCCUUCGGGUUGUAAAGCACUUUCAGUCAGGAGGAAAGGUUAGUAGUUAAUACCUGCUAGCUGUGACGUUACUGACAGAAGAAGCACCGGCUAACUCCGUGCCAGCAGCCGCGGUAAU